rnacentral:tRNA from 1 species
GGGCUGUUAGCUCAAUGGUAGAGCAGUUGACUCUUAAUCAAUUGGUUCCGAGUUCGAGUCUCGGACAGCCCACCA